rnacentral:lncRNA from 1 species
GUGCCUCGCGUCCAGCCGGCUCCGCUGCUGGCUGCCUCGGAAACCGGCCGCGCUCCUCCCAGCGAGGCGUGGCGGGGAGGCGUAGUGAGGCUGGGCCCGUGGCGGUUUCCUGAGGAGGGCCGAGAAGGGGCCGGGGGUGCUAGGGGAACGGGCGCUGGGGGCAGCGGCCCCGGUGGAUGCUAAGGGAUUCGGGAUCGGGAGAGUCCACCACGCCUGCCUGCUCGGCUGAGAAUCGCCAUGCUAAAGGGAAAAAAGGAAAAGGCCAGGGCAAGUCUCAUGGGAAGAAACAGAAGAAACCAGAAGUGGACAUUCUCAGCCCCGCGGCCAUGCUGAACCUCUACUACAUCGCCCACAACGUCGCUGACUGCCUGCAUCUACGAGGCUUCCAUUGGCCGGGUGCUCCCAAAGGAAAGAAAGGGAGAAGCAAGUGACAGCAUUUCACAACACAUCUCUGUUACAGACAACAGGACCUGGGGAAGAGAAGUCAGGAUAACACAACUGUUGCCAGCAACAUAGACUUUACUCCAGACGACUUGAGAUGCAAAUUAAGUGUGCUUUUCUGUGAUGGUGGAAGAUCAGGAAAUGCACCUUACUUCCUCUGUUAUGCCAGAUAUGGUUAGCCACUUUGGUUUUUUAGGAGCUAUAGGAUGGGAAAAGCCUGAGUAAUUCCUACACAGUGUGCUGAAAUUAAUAGAACUUUCAGAAAUUAUUAUAAUUCUGGGUCAGGAUUAAACUUUGCUCUCAGAAGGCAGUUCUAGUUGCAUUAAUUGUUUUCUUUUGCCAAAGAGCGUUUGUCAUUUAGAGAAGACACAGCAAGAAACACUGGGUUUCCUUAGGAACAUUCCUC